rnacentral:rRNA from 1 species
UACGUAGGUGACAAGCGUUGUCCGGAUUUACUGGGCGUAAAGAGCGCGCAGGCGGUCGUACAAGUCGAGUGUGAAAGCCCCCGGCUCAACUGGGGAGGGUCGCUCGAUACUGUUCGACUCGAAGGCGGGAGAGGGAAGCAGAAUUCCCGGUGUAGUGGUGAAAUGCGUAGAUAUCGGGAGGAAUACCAGUGGCGAAGGCGGCUUCCUGGCCCGUUCUUGACGCUGAGGCGCGAAAGCUAGGGGAGCAAACGGG